CCUGAAAGAUGGUUAAGUGUUCAAAUGGAACAUAUUAAGCUUUGCUCACUUUGAUUUGCAGCAAAUGUAAGGCAGAUGUUUUCAGUGAGAGCUGGCAUGAGCAAAGAGCAUAUAUAUUCUCCUUCUCAUUAUUCUCAUCUUGUUUAAUCAUAGAUGAUAUCCCUGCAACUUGUAUGAACGCUUUCCCUCCACAGUGUUCAUUUUUAGUGGCAAAAAAGUGUAAUUGUCCAAAUAAAGUGACAUUUUUAACAGCAGCGCAGUUCAAUAGCUGUGGCUCGUUGUGCAGCCCACCAGUAUUGUAAGGCAACCAGAAGUUGAAGAAGAACGUCUACUAGCAACUGACAGCUCAUACACUUCUGUUGAAAAGUUUGGGCAAAGCUGAAUUUUCAGCAGCUGUUAAUCCAGUCUUCAGUGUCACAUGAUCCUUCAGAAACUAUUUUCAUUAGGAUUCUGUGAAUAGUAAGUUGAGACAAACAGCAUUUAUUUGAAAUGGUAAACUUUAGUAACAAUGUAAAAUAAUUAAAUCUCACUUUUAAUCAUUUGAAUGCAUCCUUGCUGAAUAAAAGUGUUAAAAUUGUUCUCACCCACCCCCGAAAAAUAAAUUCUUACUGGCCCCAAAACUUUUGAAUGUACCUUGAUAUAAUGCAAUUCCUCUGCAACUUUGUAACCUUUUAAUGACUGAAAACAUAUUUACUAAUCCUCUGAGACUGUUAUAU